rnacentral:rRNA from 1 species
CUACACAUGCAAGUCGAGCGGAUGACAGGGAGCUUGCUCCUGGAUUCAGCGGCGGACGGGUGAGUAAUGCCUAGGAAUCUGCCUGGUAGUGGGGGACAACGUUUCGAAAGGAACGCUAAUACCGCAUACGUCCUACGGGAGAAGCAGGGGACCUUCGGGCCUUGCGCUAUCAGAUGAGCCUAGGUCGGAUUAGCUUGUUGGUGAGGUAAUGGCUCACCAAGGCGACGAUCCGUAACUGGUCUGAGAGGAUGAUCAGUCACACUGGAACUGAGACACGGUCCAGACUCCUACGGGAGGCAGCAGUGGGGAAUAUUGGACAAUGGGCGAAAGCCUGAUCCAGCCAUGCCGCGUGUGUGAAGAAGGUCUUCGGAUUGUAAAGCACUUUAAGUUGGGAGGAAGGGUUGUAGAUUAAUACUCUGCAAUUUUGACGUUACCGACAGAAUAAGCACCGGCUAACUCUGUGCCAGCAGCCGCGGUAAUACAGAGGGUGCAAGCGUUAAUCGGAAUUACUGGGCGUAAAGCGCGCGUAGGUGGUUUGUUAAGUUGGAUGUGAAAGCCCCGGGCUCAACCUGGGAACUGCAUCCAAAACUGGCAAGCUAGAGUACGGUAGAGGGUGGUGGAAUUUCCUGUGUAGCGGUGAAAUGCGUAGAUAUAGGAAGGAACACCAGUGGCGAAGGCGACCACCUGGACUGAUACUGACACUGAGGUGCGAAAGCGUGGGGAGCAAACAGGAUUAGAUACCCUGGUAGUCCACGCCGUAAACGAUGUCAACUAGCCGUUGGAAUCCUUGAGAUUUUAGUGGCGCAGCUAACGCAUUAAGUUGACCGCCUGGGGAGUACGGCCGCAAGGUUAAAACUCAAAUGAAUUGACGGGGGCCCGCACAAGCGGUGGAGCAUGUGGUU